UAGGGAAUCUUCGGCAAUGGACGGAAGUCUGACCGAGCAACGCCGCGUGAGUGAAGAAGGUUUUCGGAUCGUAAAGCUCUGUUGUAAGAGAAGAACGAGUGUGAGAGUGGAAAGUUCACACUGUGACGGUAUCUUACCAGAAAGGGACGGCUAACUACGUGCCAGCAGCCGCGGUAAUACGUAGGUCCCGAGCGUUGUCCGGAUUUAUUGGGCGUAAAGCGAGCGCAGGCGGUUAGAUAAGUCUGAAGUUAAAGGCUGUGGCUUAGCCAUAGUAGGCUUUGGAAACUGUUUAACUUGAGUGCAAGAGGGGAGAGUGGAAUUCCAUGUGUAGCGGUGAAAUGCGUAGAUAUAUGGAGGAACACCGGUGGCGAAAGCGGCUCUCUGGCUUGUAACUGACGCUGAGGCUCGAAAGCGUGGGGAGCAAACAGGAUUAGAUACCCUGGUAGUCCACGCUGUAAACGAUGAGUGCUAGGUGUUAGACCCUUUCCGGGGUUUAGUGCCGUAGCUAACGCAUUAAGCACUCCGCCUGGGGAGUACGACCGCAAGGUUG
rnacentral:rRNA from 1 species